AUUGAACGCUGGCGGCAGGCCUAACACAUGCAAGUCGAGCGGAAACGAGUUAACUGAACCUUCGGGGAACGUUAACGGCGUCGAGCGGCGGACGGGUGAGUAAUGCCUGGGAAAUUGCCCUGAUGUGGGGGAUAACCAUUGGAAACGAUGGCUAAUACCGCAUAAUAGCUUCGGCUCAAAGAGGGGGACCUUCGGGCCUCUCGCGUCAGGAUAUGCCCAGGUGGGAUUAGCUAGUUGGUGAGGUAAUGGCUCACCAAGGCGACGAUCCCUAGCUGGUCUGAGAGGAUGAUCAGCCACACUGGAACUGAGACACGGUCCAG
rnacentral:rRNA from 1 species